GGGGUUGUAGCUCAGUGGUAGAGCGCUUGCCUCACGUGCGUGAAACCCUGGGUUCAAUCCCUAGCACCA
rnacentral:tRNA from 1 species